rnacentral:tRNA from 1 species
GGUGCCGUGACCGAGAGGAUAGGUGUUGCUCUGCAAAAGCAAUUACGGCGGUUCGACUCCGCCCGGUAUCU